GAGGAAUAUUGGUCAAUGGGCGAGAGCCUGAACCAGCCAAGUAGCGUGCAGGAUGACGGCCCUAUGGGUUGUAAACUGCUUUUAUGUGGGGAUAAAGUGAGCUACGUGUAGUUUAUUGCAGGUACCACAUGAAUAAGGACCGGCUAAUUCCGUGCCAGCAGCCGCGGUAAUACGGAAGGUCCAGGCGUUAUCCGGAUUUAUUGGGUUUAAAGGGAGCGUAGGCCGUGGAUUAAGCGUGUUGUGAAAUGUAGACGCUCAACGUCUGAAUUGCAGCGCGAACUGGUUCACUUGAGUAUGCACAACGUAGGCGGAAUUCGUCGUGUAGCGGUGAAAUGCUUAGAUAUGACGAAGAACUCCGAUUGCGAAGGCAGCUUACGGGAGCACAACUGACGCUGAAGCUCGAAGGUGCGGGUAUCAAACAGGAUUAGAUACCCUGGUAGUCCGCACAGUAAACGAUGGAUGCCCGUUGUUAGUUCACUUACGAAUUAGCGACCAAGCGAAAGCAUUAAGCAUCCCACCUGGGGAGUACGCCGGCAACGGUG
rnacentral:rRNA from 1 species